CAUGCAGUCGAGCGGAGAUGAGGUGCUUGCACCUUAUCUUAGCGGCGGACGGGUGAGUAAUGCUUAGGAAUCUGCCUAUUAGUGGGGGACAACAUUUCGAAAGGAAUGCUAAUACCGCAUACGCCCUACGGGGGAAAGCAGGGGAUCUUCGGACCUUGCGCUAAUAGAUGAGCCUAAGUCGGAUUAGCUAGUUGGUGGGGUAAAGGCCUACCAAGGCGACGAUCUGUAGCGGGUCUGAGAGGAUGAUCCGCCACACUGGGACUGAGACACGGCCCAGACUCCUACGGGAGGCAGCAGUGGGGAAUAUUGGACAAUGGGGGGAACCCUGAUCCAGCCAUGCCGCGUGUGUGAAGAAGGCCUUUUGGUUGUAAAGCACUUUAAGCGAGGAGGAGGAGCUCUAGAUUAAUACUCUAGAUGCUUGGACGUUACUCGCAGAAUAAGCACCGGCUAACUCUGUGCCAGCAGCCGCGGUAAUACAGAGGGUGCAAGCGUUAAUCGGAUUUACUGGGCGUAAAGCGUGCGUAGGUGGUCUUUUAAGUCGGAUGUGAAAUCCCUGAGCUUAACUUAGGAAUUGCAUUCGAUACUGGGAGACUAGAGUAUGGGAGAGGAUGGUAGAAUUCCAGGUGUAGC
rnacentral:rRNA from 1 species